rnacentral:rRNA from 1 species
UACAGAGGUCCCGAGCGUUGUUCGGAUUCACUGGGCGUAAAGGGUGCGUAGGUGGUGACGUAAGUCGGAUGUGAAAUCUCGGAGCUCAACUCCGAAACGGCAUUGGAAACUGCGUUGCUAGAGGGUUGGAGGGGGGACUGGAAUGCUUGGUGUAGCAGUGAAAUGCGUAGAUAUCAAGCGGAACACCAGUGGCGAAGGCGAGUCCCUGGACAGCUCCUGACACUGAGGCACGAAAGCUAGGGGAGCAAACAGG